rnacentral:lncRNA from 1 species
GUUGAUACGUGCAGUGAGGUAUAUGACGAUGGAGAAAAAGAGACCAAGAGAAAGUGAUUUCCAACUUGAAAUCUGGAAAUUCAAAGUGUAAAUCUUGUUAAUGCAAGUUUAUAAUCUGAUUUCUAGCAUCAUCAUCUCUUUUUUUUGAAUUUAGAAGAUUAGCUAAAAUCCAACAAGGAACGCAAGGUGGAAGCUUUGGGCAAACAAGGUAAGUGAUUUCUGUAAUCACUUCUUAUUUUAUUUAAGUAAAGUAGCGUUAGUUGAUUAAGCAUGAUGAGGUUUGAAGUUUCAUAUGGUUUUGUUCGUAUGAAAUUGGUAAUUUUAGCUUAGUAGACCGAAUGGGACAAUAUAAAGUUGUAAUGAUAUGACGAAUAAUGUCUAUGUAAUGGCUACGGUAUGUAACCGGGUAAUGGGUAAAAUUGCACAUAAGUGCACCAACCGAGAAUGGGGACUUAGGUUAAUGGGUCAAAGUGAAGGUAUACUUUAGCACGGAACGUUUGUACAAGCAAUGUCGAUAGUAUUUCAUGUGCCCGGUUAGUGUAAGGUGUUAUAACAU